rnacentral:misc_RNA from 1 species
AACCAUAGAAACCUGCGGAGUACCUGCGGAAGGAUCAUUACCGAGUUUACAAACUCCCAAACCCUUUGUGAACCUUACCUAUCGUUGCUUCGGCGGGAUCGCCCCGGGCCGGCCCUUCACGGGGCCUCCGGAACCAGGCGCCCGCCGGAGAACCCAAACUCUUUGUUUUUAUGGUUUUCUCCUCUGAGUGGAUUAUAAACAAAUAAAUCAAAACUUUUAGCAAUGGAUCUCAGAUCGGAA